CGAAGGAUCGCCAUAAUCAUGAUGCUCUUCAUGAACGGCGUCGUGGAUUCGGCGUGAACGAAGGCGGUUCGUGGAUUAGGAUCGUGGGCUCGUGGAUUCGAGUGGGCGUCGUGGAUUCGACGUGAUCGAGGCUUCGUGGAUUCGAAGUGGUGACGUUUCGUGGAUUCGGGACGUGGCGUUCGUGGAUUCGGACGUGGGGCGUGGACAACCCGUUGGUGUGCGCGAGAUCCGGAGAAGAUAAAAGAGAGGUUUGAGUCUGUGGAUUCGGUAAAUCACCUUGUAAUCUUUUAUUCUUAGUGGAUUGUUAUAGCAUGUUGGUCCCGUGGGUGUUGGAGUUUUCCCACGUAAAUCUCGGUGUGAUUUUUAUUUUCCGCAUUAUUUUUUAUCGCAUUGAGAUUUGUGGUUUUUGGCCGUUACACCUAUUCACCCCCCUCUAGGUGUUGGAUACAAUCUAGAUAGAUCCUUGGGCUCCCUCAAAACUUACAAUUGGUAUCAGAGAGGAAUCUAGAUAAAUUGUUAUCUAAUGGCCGAAGGCUGAAACAUUAAUCGACCACCACUCUUCGAUGGCACAAACUAUACCUAUUGAAAAGUUCGCAUGAGAGUUUUUCUAAUCGCAAUCAAUGACCGCGUUUGGCAAUCAAUAGAAUUUGGAUGGAAACAUCCUAUUGAAUAGGUCGAGAAUGUUGAAACGCCAAAACCACGGAACAGUGGAUGAAAGAUGAAAACGAGUCAUCUUUGUUUAACGGUAAAGGAAUUAAUACUUUAUUCAACGCUUUAUCGCAAACGGAGUUUACUCGUGUUUCGGCAUGUGAAACGGCAAAGGAAAUUUGGGAUACUCUACAAGUUACGCAUGAAGGAACAAGCUUAGUAAAGGUUCAAAAAUUAUAAAUGCUAACCAGCAAAUUUGACUCGAUUUUUAUGGAAGAAAACGAGACCUUUACCGAGUACUACACGCGUCUACACGACGUAGUCAAUACAUGCGCUAACUUGGGAGAGAAAAUCCCGGAUGCUAAGGUUGUUAGAAAGAUUUUUCGAACUCUUCCGGAACGCUUUCGGGCAAAGGUUGUCGCGAUCGAAACCGUUAAGAAUCCGGACGAGAUGAAAGUCGAAGAAUUAGUAGACGCUCUACAAACGUAUGAGAUGACUUUGCCUACUAACCCAUCUUCUUCCAAGUCUUUUUCUAAAAGCACAGGAGUUGCACUCAAAUCAACAAAGAAAGAAAAAGACGACUCGGAUUCUGACGGAGAUAUUUCGCUCGCCAACUUUGAACAUCAAUUGGCGCUCCUCACGAAGAAGUUCCGACGGAAUUUCCGAAAGAAGAACAAUUCGGACAAUGCUUCAUCUUCGAAGCAUAAAUUUUUUUCUAGACAAUCUUCAAGUUCUAAAUCUAAGGAUAAAAAACAUGCAAAGUCUUCAAAAGAAAAAGAUGAAUUUGAAGGCGAGAUUCAAUGCUACAAAUGCAAAGGCUACGGCCAUAUUGCAACAUAUUGUCCUUCAAAGAAGUCUUAUAAGCAAAAGGCUUUGCAAGCUAAGACUUGGGAUGAUUCUUUUUGUAGUGAAUCAUCUUCAAGUGACGAAGAAAGGAGUGAUCACAUUGCUUUAUUUACUAACACUUCUCUACCUUCGUCUAACAUUGUUUGUUUAUCCUCAAUUGUUUCUAAUUCCACUGUUUCUCUCUCUUCGCAUGGGUCUUCGAGCACCAAUGGCGAAAGCGAGGAGUCGAACGACAAGGAUAUAGCGGAGGCAUACAAUCAACUUCUUAUUGAUUCGAAAAAGAUGACCAAGCUCAAUAAGAAGUUGAGGCGUCGUGUAUUGGACAUUGAAGAGGAGAACAAAAAUUUGAAGACAAUGAAUAAAGCUCUUGAGGAGGAAAAGGAAUCGAUUUCUAAGAAUAACUUAAUCCUCCAAGAGAAACUUGAUGAAGCGGAAUCAACGAUCAAAUCGUAUAAAGACAAGGUUGGAUUUUUGGAGCAACAAUUCGAGGAAUCGCACACAUCCAACAAGUCAUUGACCAAUCAAGUUCGUCAACUUCAAUCCGACAUACAAAAAUUCUCUUCCGGUUCAAAGAAAUUAGAUCAUAUGCUCGGAAUAGGUCAAACGAACGAGUUGGGUCUCGGGUCUGAAUGAACGUACGUUGAGAAGGAUUUAACGACAACUACUAAAGUCUCAACAAAUUCAGACAAAAAGGUAUGUCAUCGAUGUGGCAUCAAAGGACACAUAAAAAAGAAUUGCCUAAAUAAGGAAAAGAAGAAUCAAUCGGCAAUGUCUACACAUAGAUCGGCAACUACGAAUCGUCAAUCGGCAUCAUCUACAACUCGACAUCCCCCACGGAAUCAAAAGCAAAAUCAUUUAAGUCAAACACCUCUAGGGAACCGGUUUUCUAAUGUACAAUGUCAUGUUCGCCCGAACCCAAAAGCAAACCGGAUUUCUAAGCCUCAACGACAAGUUCAACCGAAGCCUCAAGCAACAAGACGACCAACGGUUAAUUCAAAAUCAAAACAAAUUGUGAUUAACGUCGACAAACCAAGAAAACCAACAAUCCGAGAAGUUUGGAUCCGGAAAGGUGAUAUCUUUCCUUGCUCUUUGUCUUAGUUUGUUUUAUUGUUUAUGUAAUGCUUUGUUUGGUGCUUAUUGCAUAUUUUUAUUCAUUGCAUUACAUGUUUAGACGAUUUUUGGUGCUUGAAAUUUAUUUGUUUCAAAAUUGUUUUAAGGAAAGGUGAUUAGGAAUUAAAAAAAAAAGAACUCUUUCUUUGAGAUAGGAGAUGAUUGAAAAUCUUUACUUUAGGGAGUAUUUUAAAUGUGACUUAACCGGAAUUCAAAUUGAAUGAAAUUUAUAUUAAUUAUCGGUUUUACUCCACUGUUUAUUAUUUUGACGAUAAUUUAUUAUAUGAAUUCUUAAUACAUAUAUUCAUCAAGGUUGUGUGUGUUGGAUAUGAUGGAUAGAUAUUCUCUAAUUGACUAAAAUUCGUCAAAAUUAUUUUCAAUUGUGAGAUUGUCAAAUUUAAGGGGAGUUUUGAAUUAUUUAAAAAAUAUAUAUAUAUAAAAAGGGAAACUCCUAUGUUUAAAAGAUGUGGAAAGAGUUACAUCCAAAAUGAGUGUGAAAACUACCACCACAUGUAGGAAAGAGCUACCAUCCCGGUCGUCCGGUACGUGUGUGAAGCUAUCAUUUGAAGAUUGAAUUGAAUAACCGAAAAGGUUGAAAAAAAAAUGAAUAUUUUAGAAUUUUCGGAGUUAUAAGGUGUUAGAAUGAAAAGAUGCUCAAAGAGCCACCCUCGAUGCUAUAUUAGUUAAAUCUCUAUUUUGAACGAUUUGCGACAAAUUGAGGUCAAUUUGGUUGAAUUUCUAAAAAUCAAUUUUCAUGAACCGUUACAUCUUGAUGGUUUUGAAUCAUUAAAUUAUUUUUGAUAACAUAAUUUUGAUGAUUCGAUGUAUUUUGAAAUCCUAUAAUACUUUAUCUUCAUCAUAAUAAUUUUUGGAGUAUAAUUUUUAAUUUUUAUGAAAUUAAUAUAUUUUGAGGAUCGUCGAAAGGCCGCGUUAUAUAGCCUCUUGGCAAGUUUUGGCACGUCAAUCUCGAGUGCUGCAACAAAUCAAAUGAUGUGUGCUUUGCUUGUCUUUCAUUCUCUUUUAGGCCUAUGACUAUGACAUGACUACUUUUAUGCUUUCUAGUAUGCUUUCUCUAUUUAUAAGCUUUGUCUUUGGCAAUUUUUGACAAAAAGGGGGAGAGCAUAGAUGAACAAGUGGUGAUCGAGAACAAAGGAGAAGAAGGAAUGAAAUCAAAGGAGAAGAGGAUGAAUUCAAGAACAAAGGGGAAGAUGUGAUCAUCGAGAACAAAGGUGGAGAAGGUAUAAAAAUUUAAUGUUGUUAAGUUUCUACAUUAUUUUUGGAUAAAUUGUUUUGCAGAAAAUCAGGACUUCAAGACUCCUAGUUGCAUCUAAGUCAUAGAGCCACUUCAAGACUCCUAGUUGCGUCUAAGUCAUAGAGUCUGUUUUAGGAGUUUUGAUGUACUUUUGCGUUUCAUAUUGUAUUUGGAUCACAUGCGAGGGGUUCAAUGUUUUGGUGAUGACAAUUGAACUUUGUUUUUUCUUUAAGAUGUAAUUUUUGAGUAGUUGUGAGUUUUGUCACGAAAUUGCCAAAGGGGGAGAUUGUUAGUCUUGUGAGUUGGCAAGUUUCGUGAAGUGAGUCAGAGUCUUGAAGGAUCGAUGCGUACUGUCGAAGAUCAAAGAAUCCAAGACUUCGAAGAGAUUGGAAAAUAACUCACGACGUGAAUCACGAUGCUCAGGUAAAGUUUUAAUUCAUGUUAUGGUGAUUCAUACUUAAUUAUAGACAUUAGAAUCAUAUAAUCAAAGUUUAGUGGAUUAGAGAGUGUAUUGGAACUUUGCGAAACCCGAAACGUGAAAAAAAUCUAAAAACUACACUGUGUACCGGUACUCAUUGAAAGUGUUACCGGUUACAAAUUGUGUACGGGUACAACCAUCAACGUGUUACCGGUUACAAAAUGUGUACCGGUAAGCCAUCGACAUGUAACCGGUUCCACUGUUUCGUCAGUUUUUUCAUUCCGUCAUCGUGUAACCGGUGACAGCUUAAAGUGUACCGGUACACAGUGUAAAAUCGUGAAAACUUUCUAAUCCGACUCCGAUUGAUUCUAAAAUCUAUAAAUAAGAUAUUGGGGUUCUCUAACACAUCAAGGAUCAUGAGAAUACAUGUUUGAGAAACCCUAGAGGCUAGGAUUUCGUCGAAAACCUAUUUUCUACAUAUUAGCCUCUUUUAGGUCAAAUCGAGAUAUUGGAAUUUUAUAUCUACAUGUCGAUUUGAUCUUUGCUUCGCUUGGAGAUCUCUUUCCUGGUUUUCAUCGAUACUCUAAGCGAAGGAUCACCAUAAUCAUGAUGCUCUUCAUGAACGGCGUCGUGGAUUCGGCGUGACUGAAGGCGGUUCGUGGAUUCGGAUCGUGGGCUCGUGGAUUCGACGUGAUCGAGGCUUCGUGGAUUUGAAGUGGUGACGUUUCGUGGAUUCGGGACAUGGCGUUCGUGGAUUCAGACAUGGGGCGUGGACAACCCGUUGGUGUGCGCGAGAUCCAGAGAAGAUAAAAGAGAGGUUUGAGUCCGUGGAUUCGGUAAAUCACCUUGUAAUCUUUUAUUCUUAGUGGAUUGUUAUCGCGUGUUGGUCCCGUGGAUUUUUUACUCCAAGUUGGAGUUUUCCCACGUAAAUCUCGGUGUGAUUUUUAUUUUUCGCAUUAUUUUUUAUCGCAUUGAGAUUUGUGGUUUUUGGCCGUUACACCUAUUCACCCCCCUCUAGGUGUUGGAUACAAUCUAG
rnacentral:lncRNA from 1 species